GUCUCUUCGGAGGCAUUUAAUAAAAUUGGAACGAUAUAAAGAAGAUUGCGUGGUCCCUGACGCAAGGAUAACACGCACAAAUUGAGAAAUGGUCUUUCUCAAU